GUCCACGCUGUAACGAUGAAUACUAGGUGUGCGGGACUGACCCCUGCGUGCCGCAGCUAACGCAAUAAGUAUUCCACCUGGGAGGUACGAUCGCAAGGUUGAACUCAAGGAAUUGACGGGGCCCGGCACAAGCGGUGGAUUAUGUGGUUUAAUUCGAAGCAACGCGAAGAACCUUACCAGGGGCUUGACAUCCUACUAACGAGUAGAGAUACAUCAGGUGCCCUUCGGGGAAAGUAGAGACAGGUGGUGCAUGGUUGUCGU
rnacentral:rRNA from 1 species